rnacentral:lncRNA from 1 species
GANGAUCUCUUGGAUGCUUAGGCUCCUUUUCAUCUUUUCUAGGGUUUGCUUUUCCAUUCUUCUUCCAUUUUUCAUCUAGUCUCACCAUGAAAAUGGUGAACUAAACCCUAUUGUUGUUGGGGGAAACAAUGUAAUCUUUUGAUACUCUCUUUUAUUGAAACUCUUGAUUAUUUAUAUGGUUCCCAUAUGUUCUGAUUGUUAAUUGUUGGGUUCUCAUCUGUGCUUAAGGCCUUUAUCGUUUAACUCAUUCGAUAACUGUUGUUUGUCUUUAUUGAUACGGGGACGUACAGUAAUGUCAUGAACUGGUGAGUAAUUCCUUGAUUUUGCAAUACCACCUAGGGAUAGGGGUAGGACGAUCAAUUGCGUUUAACUUCUUCUCUUUAAGGAUGUAUUAAUUGCUAGGGGAGGCUAGGGAUAGCAAGCCAGAAAUUAGUAUUAGGCUCUUUUCGCCGAGGGAUCGGAUUAAGGGUAGGCUAAAAAGGUUUCAUGACAAUUAAUUAAUCAAACUAAUAAUUCAAGAGGAGUAAAUAAAAGAGAGAGGAUUAGAUGAAAUUGUAAAGCCCCAACAACUCCAUUCAUCCAUUGUUUUCUUUUGUCAAUUGAAUCAAUCUCUUUUGCAUGUUAAUAUUUUUUUUCUCAAAUCCAAUUAAUUAUUUUUAUUUUCAAGUCUUAUUAUUUUAAUUCACGUGAACAAGAAAGCCUUUCGAGUCUCUUGGGAAGAACGAUAUUGGGUUUUACCAAUUAUAUUACUUGAACGAUUUGGUACGCUUGUCAAUCCAUCAAAAGAGAUCUUCGCUAAGGAGUGAAGAUUAGGUUUGGCCGCCCUCUUCUGUCAAAAGAUGAGGAGCGUCACAGAAAAUAGGCCUAGGCCCAGUGGACAACCGCCCGACGGCAAACUUAUGCCGCCCGGCGGUUUGCCUCUAAUCGCGAAUCCGCCCAGCGUACAUGCCAGGUGCCUUCUCAUCGCAUUGGACCGCCCAGCGGUGAAUUUUGCCGUCGGGCAGUUCCUAGACUUCUUUUCUUCAAUUUUCUUCUUUUGUUUUGAUUCUAAGACCUUCAUCCUCAACCCC